rnacentral:rRNA from 1 species
AGGUUGGCUUAGAAGCAGCCAUCCUUUAAAGAGUGCGUAAUAGCUCACUAGUCGAAUGACACUGCGCCGAAAAUGUACCGGGGCUAAACAUGAAACCGAAGCUGUGGAUUUUAUAGAUAAUAUAAAAUGGUAGGGGAGCGUUCUAAUUGCGACGAAGAUGGAUCGUGAGGACUGUUGGAGCGAUUAGAAGUGAGAAUGCCGGUGUGAGUAGCGCAAGAAGGGUGAGAAUCCCUUCCACCGUUUGCCUAAGGGUUCCUGGGGAAGGUUCGUCCUCCCAGGGUAAGUCGGGUCCUAAGACGAGGCCGAAAGGCGUAGCCGAUGGACAACAGGUUGAUAUUCCUGUACCACCUAUAUAACUGAUGGAGUGACGAAGGAGGCUAUAGAAAGCCAGUUAAUGGAUUCUGGUCUAAGCACAUAGGCGUACAUAUAGGCAAAUCCGUAUGUAAUGUAGCUGAAGUGUUAUGGUGAAGGUAAUAGCGAUAUUACUGAAAUUUCUAGACGCCAAACUUCCAAGAAAAGCUUCUAGGGUUAAUUAUAUAGGUGCCCGUACCCAGAACCGACACAGGUAGGCAAGGAGAGUAUCCUAAGGUGAGCGAGAGAACUAUGGUUAAGGAACUCGGCAAAAUGACCCCGUAACUUCGGGAGAAGGGGUGGUCUAGCGAUAGACCCGCAGUAAAGAGUCCCAGGCAACUGUUUACCAAAAACACAGCUCUCUGCUAAAUCGAAAGAUGAUGUAUAGGGGGUGACACUUGCCCAGUGCUGGAAGGUUAAGAGGAGAGGUUAGUAAUGACUUCGGUUAUAUUUACGAAGCUUCGAAUUGAAGCCCCAGUGAACGGCGGCCGUAACUAUAACGGUCCUAAGGUAGCGAAAUUCCUUGUCAGGUAAGUUCUGACCCGCACGAAAGGCGUAAUGAUCUGGGAACUGUCUCAACCAUAGACUCGGUGAAAUCUUAAUACCUGUGAAAAUGCAGGUUACCCGCGACAGGACGGAAAGACCCCAUGGAGCUUUACUGUAGCUUGAUAUUGGAUCUCGAUGUGUUAUGUAGAGGAUAGGUGGGAGACUAUGAUGUUAGGACGCUAGUUCUAACGGAGUCAACCUUGGAAUACCACCCUUAGCAUGUUGAGAUUCUAACCUCGACCCAUUAUCUGGGUCAGGGACAGUGUCUGGUGGGCAGUUUGACUGGGGCGGUCGCCUCCCAAAAAGUAACGGAGGCGCUCAAAGGUUCCCUCAGAAUGGUUGGAAAUCAUUCGAAGAGCGUAAUGGUAUAAGGGAGCUUUACUGCGAGACCUACAAGUCAAGCAGUUACGAAAGUAGGACAUAGUGGGCCGGCGAUUCAGAAUGGAAUGGUCGUCGCUUAACGGAUAAAAGUUACCCUGGGGAUAACAGGCUGAUACCACCCAAUAGUUCACAUAGACGGUGGUGAUUGGCACCUCGAUGUCGGCUCGUCACAUCCUGGAGCUGGAUUCGGUUCCAAGGGUUGGGCUGUUCGCCCAUUAAAGUGGCACGCGAGCUGGGUUCAGAACGUCGUGAGACAGUUCGGUCUCUAUCUGUUGUGGGCGUAGAGAUUUGCAGGGCUCUGACACUAGUACGAGAGGACCGUGUUGGACCGACCGCUGGUCUAUCGGUUAUGCCGCCAGGUGUAAUGCCGAGUAGCUAAGUCGGGCUAGGAUAAGUGCUGAAAGCAUCUAAGCACGAAGCCGACCCUAAGAUAAGAUCUCACUAGAGGGUGGUCAAAGACGAUGACCUUGAUAGGCUAUAGGUGUAAAGACAGUAAUGUCAAAGCCGAGUAGUACUAAUUACCCGAACGAUUCGCUAA